UGGGGAAUAUUGCACAAUGGGCGCAAGCCUGAUGCAGCCAUGCCGCGUGUGUGAAGAAGGCCUCGGUUGUAAAGCAACUUUCAGCGAGGAGGAAGGUGGGUGAACUUAAUACGUUCAUCAAUUGACGUUACUCGCAGAAGAAGCACCGGCUAACUCCGUGCCAGCAGCCGCGGUAAUACGGAGGGUGCAAGCGUUAAUCGGAAUUACUGGGCGUAAAGCGCACGCAGGCGGUUUGUUAAGUCAGAUGUGAAAUCCCCCGGGCUCAACCUGGGAACUGCAUUUGAAACUGGCAAGCUAGAGUCUCGUAGAGGGGGGUAGAAUUCCAGGUGUAGCGGUGAAAUGCGUAGAGAUCUGGAGGAAUACCGGUGGCGAAGGCCGGCCCCCCAUGGACGAAGACUGACGCUCAGGUGCGAAAGCGUGGGGAGCAAACAGGAUUAG
rnacentral:rRNA from 1 species